CAGUUCGGAUCGGAGUCUGCAACCCGACUCCGUGAAGCUGGAUUCGCUAGUAAUCGCGCAUCAGCCAUGGCGCGGUGAAUACGUUCCCGGGCCUUGUACACACCGCCCGUCAAGCCAUGGGAGCCGGGGGUGCCUGAAGUGCGCUGCCGCAAGGAGCGUCCUAGGGUAAAACCGGUGACCGGGGCUAAGUCGUAACAAGGUACC
rnacentral:rRNA from 1 species